rnacentral:lncRNA from 1 species
UGGUAGUAAAGGUAGAAAAUAAAAUAGGGUAUCAUUGUCCAAAAAGUAAAGUAUGAGUUUAUUUCAUGGACAAAUAUUUAAGGGCAAAUAUGAGUUUAUUUGAUGGACGGAGGGAGUAUUUUUUUUUCCUUAUUUAUUUAUUUUUUUGUUUUAUUUCUUUCUAAAAAUUGUGAAAUUCAACUAAUUAUAAAAUAUUUAAUAUGCAUAUCAAAUUAAAGAUAACGAUAAAAGCUUUAAUUUGAUCUAUUUAUGUAUAUAUUUAAUUUAAAAUGUAGAAGUUAUAUUUAUUUAAAGAUUAAAAUUUAAUGCAUUCUCUCAUCUCU